rnacentral:rRNA from 1 species
AUAACUUACCCUUAGGACUGGGAUAACUCUGGGAAACUGGGGAUAAUACCGGAUAUUAGGCUAUGUCUGCAAUGGUUUGCCUUUGAAAUGUUUCUUUGUAUUCGCCUAAGGAUAGAUCUGCGGCUGAUUAGGUCGUUGGUGGGGUAAUGGCCCACCAAGCCGAUGAUCGGUACGGGUUGUGAGAGCAAGGGCCCGGAGAUGGAACCUGAGACAAGGUUCCAGACCCUACGGGGUGCAGCAGGCGCGAAACCUCCGCAAUGUACGAAAGUGCGACGGGGGGAUCCCAAGUGUUAUGCUUAAAGGUAUGACUUUUCAUUAGUGUAAAAAGCUUUUAGAAUAAGAGCUGGGCAAGACCGGUGCCAGCCGCCGCGGUAACACCGGCAGCUCGAGUGGUAGCUGUUUUUAUUGGGCCUAGAGCGUUCGUAGCCGGUUUAAUAAGUCUUUGGUGAAAGCUUGUAGCUUAACUAUAAGAAUUGCUGGAGAUACUAUUGGACUUGAAGUCGGGAGAGGUUAGAGGUACUACCGGGGUAGGGGUGAAAUCCUAUAAUCCUGGGAGGACCACCUGUGGCGAAGGCGUCUAACUGGAACGAUCUUGACGGUGAGUAACGAAAGCCAGGGGCGCGAACCGGAUUAGAUACCCGGGUAGUCCUGGCCGUAAACGAUGUGGACUUGGUGUUGGAAUGGCUUUGAGUUUGUUCCGGUGCCGAAGGGAAGCUGUUAAGUCCACCGCCUGGGAAGUACGGUCGCAAGAUUGAAACUUAA